GACAGAGGGUGCAAACGUUGCUCGGAAUUACUGGGCGUAAAGGGCGUGUAGGCGGGAAGGCAAGUCAGACGUGAAAUCCCCGGGCUUAACCUGGGAAUGGCGUUUGAAACUACGGAGCUGGAGUGUGGCAGAGGGAGGUAGAAUUCCACGUGUAGCGGUGAAAUGCGUAGAUAUGUGGAGGAAUACCGAUGGCGAAGGCAGCCUCCUGGGCCAACACUGACGCUCAUGCACGAAAGCGUGGGGAGCAAACAGG
rnacentral:rRNA from 1 species